GGUAAAAGGAGACACAGGUCACUGUGAAGCAGUAGGAGACAGAUGGACAUAGGAGCUGCAGGACAUAGAGCCAACCAGCUAUGUGAGAUUUCAGAUUCAACUGAAGUCAGACUGAACAGACCGGAGGAAACCAUCAUACAGCAAUGUAAAGAUGAAUUAAAACAAGAGACCCACUCACAGUUUUCAGACAACAGACCCACUCACAGAUAGCAGUAGCUAUCUGCACUUCUGGCAAGAGAAAAGUGGAUAUAAUAUGUCACCGGGAAUAUGUCAACCGUGUUAUCCUUUG